AUGCCCAAUGCCACCGGAACGCUCUGCCCACUCGGUGGCCCCACCCAUCGCCGCCCCGCCCCCGCUUCAACCACCAAUGGUCGCCGCCCGCUGCUCCCGAGGGGCUCGUUGAUUGGACAGUGGAGCCUGCCACUCUCGCGGGGCCUCCCGCCCUCCCUCACUCCCCGCUGGGGCUGGAGGGGCUGGAGCAUCAGCGCGAGUAGCUCGGAGCAGCCGCGGCAGCGGCGGCGCGUCGUUGCAGUUGCGCCAUCUGUCAGGAGCGGAGCCGGCGGGGAGGGGGCUGCCGCGGGAGAGGAGGAGGGGUCGCCGCGAGCCGAAGGCCGCCGAGACCCGCCCGCCAACCGGCCGAGGGAGCAGAAGAGAGGCUGCCCUCGGAGCCGCGCGUCCAUCACCGCCCGGGCGCGCGGCGCUUCACCCCGCGCACCGAGGGCUCCCCAGGCGCACACAAAGCCGCCGCCCGCGCCUGGGAGGGAUCCAGUCGCCGGGCCGGGGACACCCGGCGCCGCCCCCUGGGCACUCUCAGAAGGCCCACCGGCUCCCGGGCCCGCCGAGCAACCACCGGAGCCGCUUCGGCCGCGCCGGAGGAGGCGGGGAGUGGACCAUGUGAAUGGGCUCCGGAGCCUGAGCGCAGCGCAGGACCAGUCCAGCAGCUGUAUUAGAAGACAUGUGGUAUAUAUAAAGUUUGUGAUCGUUGGGGGAAAUUUUGUCAUCCAGUGCUGA
rnacentral:lncRNA from 1 species